rnacentral:lncRNA from 1 species
GGCUGGAUGGAGCCAGGUUAGCUUGAGCCGGUCGGAAGUGAGUGGCUUUUUCAUACUACUUUUUUCCUUCCCUUUCCCUUGAAAGAGCAUGGCCCAGGAGAAAUUUUUGUUUGGAUCAUCAAGCUGGGAUCGGAAGCGGGCAUUAUUGCAAUCCUAGGGUUUUGAUUGGUAUAUAAGGGAAUAUGGUAAAUGUUUCGACUUCCGAUUGCAUGCGUUUUAGUUCUCUUUACAUAUUUUUUUAUAGUUUUCUCCAUUUUUUAAUUUCCUUUUUCAUGUUCUUUCUUGAGGUUGAGCCGUUGGCUUCGUCUGUGCUGCAUCUAGGCCACCCGUCUGAUUUGUUUCUAUUAGAUGGUGCAGAAACAGCUGAUCGUGGCUGUUGAAGGCAUGGCCGCUAUGGGACCCUACUGGUUUACCAUUCUCUCUAAUUACCUUGACAAGAUGAAUUGGUGUUUCAUUUACCCACGCUGUGAUUUCAAAAUGUAUUUGUGUGAUAUGUUGAAAUGUUUAUUUUUUAAUGGGAGCGAAUUGUUAUGGGAUAUGGGCUUGUUUUCGUGUGGAAUGUAUUAGAAUUCUGAAAUGGGUUUUCGCGGUUCAGUAAAAUUGUUUAUUUUUUGGGAAAUAAAUAUACUCAUUUUCUCUUGGAAUUAGUGUGUAUGCAUCAAAGAGUAUAAAUUUAUUUUGUGUUCUUGAUCAAUGAAUAGACUGCCAGUUAUUGGUCAUUUUUCUUAUGUUUUCUCCUUUUGUUUUGGUGCUAUUUUUUUGUGAAUUUUCUUUAUUAGUUUAUAAACAUUGCUGUAGAAGUGUUUGAUAAAUUGUUCACGUGAGUACAUUUUAUUGAGAAUUUCUUCAACUAUUGAUGACGCGGGUGAAAGUCUUGGAAAGUGUGAUCAGUAAAAUCUAUAGUUCCGUGGCGUAACUUUUGCUUGAGAAGUUUUUGAUAAUUUUUUUAUCAUUUCUAGACUGCUGUAUUUUUUGUUGAGUAAUAUUUUUUUUGCUGAGAUUUAUGUUAUUUAUUUAGGCACCGUUUGAUUGCCCACGAAUUUCUUAGAAAGUGGAAAUUAAUUUCCAUCUUUUCCAAAUUCUAGUGUUUGAUGGCAAAACAUUUCCUUGGAAUUCACUUUCCAUGCAAGCCUCACAGGCGCCUAUUUUCCUUCAUUUCAAGGAAUUGGUUUUCCCACCUAUAUGGUGGGAAAGUGAAAUCUAGGUUUUCAAUUUUUUUUUUUUUUUUGGUUUUUUUUUUUUUUUUUUUUUUGUUUUUUUUUUUUUUUUUUUUUUGUGUGUGUUAGCAGUGGAAACAAAUUCUAAAAAUUAUUGUAAAAAAAUAUUUUUCUUUAAUUGACAAUUUUCAUGUAAAACAAAACCAAACGAACACCCAAAAAUAGAUGAUUUUCUUGAUUUUUUUUUUUCGGGUUUUGGAAAUGGAAACAAAUUUCAUUCCCAACACCAGUAAAUUUUAUCCCUUUAAUUGACAAUUUUCAUGUAAAACAAAGUCAAACAGACAUAAAAAAGACACUUUAAUUUAAACAUUUUUCAUGUGGAAAAUUAUACCAAUCAAACACAAUAAUUUACAAUUUCCAGAAAAACAAUUUCUCAUCAAUUCAAUUCCCUGAAAUUUGUUUUCUUUCCACCCAAAUUCCACCUUUGCAAUCAAACAAACCCUUCUUUUUUGUUGUUUAAGGUGCGAGGAGUGUUGCAAAUGAUGCGAGGUCUGUCGAGUUCCCUGUUUUAUUGGGACGAUAAUGGACAUUGUUUUCAUAUUAAAAGUGAAAUAUACAUGACUUAUCUUUCCCAAAUAAGUUUGUAUGGCUAUCUUCACCAAUUUCCGCAUGCUGCAACAAGUUUAAAAGUGGCAGAGAUUGUUGUAAAGAAAAUAGAGAAAACUACUUGAGAACGUUUGCUUGUGCUAUUUCUACAUGGCUUAGAGUAUGUGUCUUUUACUAUGAAAUUUUUGUUUGAUAAACUCUUUUUCUUCUUAUUGGAUUCCUGUUCUCAUUUUUGAAAUGUUUAUGGAGGCUUUAUUUUCCUUAAUUUUGUUUCGGAGUACAAGAUUUGGGAUAAUUCUUUGAAAGAAGAACUGAAGAUAAAUAGCUCUAAUGGUAACCCUAUUGUGGCUAUCAAGUUCUUUAUCAGAGUUGUAUGCUUAUUUGGAGGAAUUUAAUUUGAUGUUUGGUGCUUGAAUAAUUGUGUAUAUAUUCUGUGAAGUUGUGGGAAAAAAAGAUUGACG